rnacentral:tRNA from 1 species
GUCCAGGGUAGCCUAGUGGUCAUGGCAUCUGGCCGGUAAGCGGAAGGUCGUGGGUUCGAUUCCCAUCCCUUGACA